CUAACGGCUGAACCAGCAACUUGCAGGAAUGAGAGUUAAUAUAAUAAGUUAUUAACUUGCUUGACUAGGUCUUAUAAAGUUCUGGAUAAAGCUUAUUAUGAAAACUUUAUAUCCAUAGGUCUCGACCAAAUCUUGUGCCAGCAGUCGCGGUAAGACAAGGGAGACGAGUGUUAUUCAUCUUUAACAGGUAUAUAGGGUACCUAGACGGUGUGCAAUGGCUUAAAUAAGUACCUGGUACACUUGAGUUUGAUAUGUGAGAGGAAUAUGUCGGAAUUGUUGGAGGAAAGAUGAAAUUUGUUAAUACCAAUAGGACUGAUAACGGCGAAGGCAAACCUCUAUGUACAUGUACUUGCUGCUAUUUCUAAGCUAUAAAAAAUGAAAUGAUAAAUAAAAAAAAAUUUUUCUCUUAUAAAAAAUAUCAGAUUGAUAAAGAGGAAAAAAAAGCAGCAAUGUACUAUAACUGACGUUGAGGGACGAAGGCUCAGAGAGUGAAGAGGAUUAGAUACCCCCGUAACCUGGGCAGACAAUGAUGAGUGCCAUAGGUUGGCUUUAAGGCGGAACUAUAAAUGAAAGUGGAAGCACUCCACCUCAAGAGUAAUGUGGCAACGCAGGAACUGAAAUCAUUAGACCGUUUCUGAAACCAGUAGUGAAGU
rnacentral:rRNA from 1 species